rnacentral:rRNA from 1 species
UACGUAGGGUGCGAGCGUUGUCCGGAAUUAUUGGGCGUAAAGGGCUCGUAGGCGGUCUGUCGCGUCGGGAGUGAAAACUCAGGGCUUAACCCUGAGCCUGCUUCCGAUACGGGCAGACUAGAGGUAUGCAGGGGAGAACGGAAUUCCUGGUGUAGCGGUGGAAUGCGCAGAUAUCAGGAGGAACACCAAUGGCGAAGGCAGCACUCUGGGACGUGACUGACGCUGAGACGCGAAAGCGUGGGGAGCAAACAGG